CACACACACAUUGCACAAUCUCUUCAUAAGAGUGUGAUCUAUCCAGCUAUAGUGUGAUGUAACCUCUCAUUUUCUCUUCCCACAUAUUAAUCUCAUCCUCUCACAUUUUCUCCAUUCUUUUACAGAUCAUGUUUUGUACGAUAUGUCUCCAGAAGAGGGUCUUCUCUGACAUGACAUUGCUAUGAUGUAUUCGGUGCUAGAUCAUGGGCCGUUGUUUUAUGGUUUGCUGGGGUCUGGAGUCUGCCUAGUCCUGGGGAUCCUUGCAGCAGCAAUUGUCUGGUUCAAGAGGCGUAAACACACAAGACCACCACAUGCCGACCAGAGUAAAAACUCUCCCUUUAUCGAUCCUGUGAGUUGUAAAGAUUGAUUGGACAACACCUAUUCUGUAUCUCUGUGUAUCUUUAUUCUAGCAGGCUGUGGAGAGUGUUGCACUCAUGGAUAAAUCAGGUGAAGAGCUCAAAGUGCUUCCUUCCUAAGGACUGAGGACUACUUGCAUGGAGAUUCAUUUUGGUCUGGAGAACGGAGUCACAUUGAGACAAUAGCCUCUUUUCCUGGCCUUUGCCAGACAACGAACAUCGCACCCUGUUUGUGACCUUUGUGAAGCCUUGUGCAGUGAACAUACAACCUCUGUGAAUGAA